rnacentral:lncRNA from 13 species
UUUUCUAAUUAAUGAAGAUAUACUACAAUCGCUCAUGACUGUUACGCAGGGUUCUAGCAAAAAACGAAGAGGGGCGCAAAAUACAAGACAAAACACUGAACGUUGGGCACACAACUGCAGAAUGCCAGAGCAGAUUUUGCAACUCUAGCUGAGCGUCAAUUUUCAUGUAUGGAAAUGUUUGCUAAAGCAAUGCAACAAAUGGCAAAUAAUGAAAAGGAUCGAAAUGAAUGUCUGCGUGCUUUCAUAGAAGCAAAAAAUAGUAGAAAAAAAACAUAUUCCGAAUU